UUUAUAAAGGGCAGUUCCCCUGCAAUGAUCUCUUGCCUGCCACCAUGUAAGACGUGCCUUUUCUCCUCCUUCACCUUCUGCCAUGAUUGUGAGGCCUCCCCAGACCUAUAAGUGGAACUGUCUCAGUGAGCACGUCUGAUCGGUGGCACCUGGGUCACGUGACCACCCCCUAGCUGCAAGGGAUGCUUGGAAGAGUGAGCACCUAGCAGGUUCAACAUCAGUGAUGGAGGUGUGCAGACUGUGCUUCAAAAGAUGGGGAGCCUCAGACCACUGCAGGGUGUUUAACCCUUCCUCAACUGAUGGAUAUUUAGGUUGCUCCCAGUGACCAUCUUGACCAUACUCCCUGUGCCUGUGUGUGGAUGUUUCACUAAGGGAGAUGCCACAUCAAGGAACUGCAGUGUUUCCCCCAAAAAUGUGAACUUACAGUUUUACUGGCUACUGUGAAAAUUGUCUUCCGGAGAGGCUGUUUCAAUUUACACUGCCACCGGCAGUAUAUCGGUGUGACCGUUUCCCAGUCUCCUUAACACUUUACAUCACCAAUCUCAUUCAUGUCAACCUGAGGCAUGGGAAAUGUUCUCGCAUUGUUGUUUUAAUUUGCAUUUGCCUGAUUACCAGCAUGGUUGAACAUCUUUCAUGUUUAUUUGCCAUCUGUAUUUUAUGUAAAUUGCCUAUUCACAUCCACUACCCAUUAUUCUAGUGGGUUUGUGGUUUUUUUCUUAUUGUUCUGCAGGAACUCUUUAUAUAUUGUGGAAA
rnacentral:lncRNA from 10 species